GCAGUUAGCUUAGCGGGCAAGCUUGGAGCUAGAAACACCAAGCCAGGUGCAGGUUCGAAACCUGCGGUGCA